GCGCAUCAUUCGAAACAUAACGGUCAUCUACCACUCUACGCUGAGGAAAAGAGAUAAGCAUUUCAACAGAGCCACAUCACUGAAUGGAAUUACACACCGAGCCAUUCCACUGUCCUUCCUGUG